GACGAACGCUGGCGGCGUGCUUAACACAUGCAAGUCGAGCGGCGCGGCGAACGGGUGAGUAACGCGUGAGUAACUGCCCCCCUCUCUGGGAUAACAGUUGGAAACGGCUGCUAAUACCGGAUAGUGGGGGAUGACUCGCGUCCUAUCAGCUUGUUGGUGGGGUAUUGGCCUAACAAGGCGACGACGGGUAGCCGGCCUGAGAGGGCGACCGGCCAAAAUGGGCUGAGAUACCGGCCAAAGACCUACGGGAGGCAGCAGUGGGGAAUAGUGCACAAUGGGGGAAUCCAGAAUGCAGCAGGGCCGCGUGCGGGAGGACGGCCUUCGGGUGAUAAACCGCUUGCAGCAAGGACGCGGUAGUGGCAGAAGAAGCACCGGCUAACUACGUGCCAGCAGCCGCGGUAAUAC
rnacentral:rRNA from 1 species